AAAAACCCUACUUCCUACGUGCACGACGCACUCCCUUGCCCUCCCAAUCUCUCACGAACCUGCCCUUCUCCUUCCUCUACACACCACCACAACCGCCGAGGGCGACUCUUCGUGGUUGUCUCCCAUCGCCAUCGGUCCAUCACAGGCUCACAUCGCCGCGCCACGCCGCUGCCCAUCCUGCUACUCUCCUGCUCGCCAUCACUAGCUGGC
rnacentral:lncRNA from 1 species